UCCACCUGUUUCCGCACAUCCCUAAAAAAAUCCCUGCUGGCACACAAAGCCUAUUCUCCCUACGUUUUGGCCUUUAUCCUAAUAAAACAACCUAAGCGAGCUGCAUCGGCCGCCGUCCCAUUGCCCUCGCCGCCGCCGUCCCUUGUUCCUUCACCAAGCCCGCGUCCCUUGCCACUUUCUCCACGCUUCAAAGACGCACACUGCAUCUUUUCCAUCCUCCUCGCGUCGGGGACACACACAUGGCGUCGUCGCCAUCCUCCUCGCGUCUGGGAAGGUGCCGUCGCCGCCGCUCCUACGCGCGACCUGAGAUGCCGAGGCCGUUGUUCUCCUCCGCACAGCCAGGGACGACGCACGCACCGACGCCCCGUCCCCAACUGCAUUAGCUCAGCGUGACUCAGCUCCAAAGGAAAGGAGCAACUCCUCUCGACCUCUCCAAAAUCCCGAGUCCCUGCUAGUAUUAUUUGAGAUAUUUGCCGGUGUAGUGAUGUAAGUACUAAGUACUGCCUGCGUAAGGGGAAAAUAACUUGCAAGAUGGUGCAGGUAAUUUCCUUUGAUUCUUUCACAUAUCCCUAAAUUUCACUUACAAGUUACAAAAUUUUCUAUUAAUCUAAUUACUUAUUUCUACAGCUUUUAUUGUAUCCAGUAAAGAAUUCUUGUUAACACUGGUUAGCAUGACAUCAAUCUGAGUAAAUUGUAUCGAGUGAAGCAUUGUUAACAUGAGAACAAUCUGACUGCGUGAAAUUUCCAAUUCAUAUCCACAGUGCCUCAAAAGAAACUGUAUCUAGUGAAAAAUUGUUGUUAGGAUGAGUGCAUAACAACUUUCCUUCAGCCUGGCCUGCCCUGCUAUUUUUUUUGUAGGUCCGCCACAGAAACACACUAAGGCUCCGUUCGGCUGCUCAGUAUUUUUUGAGUUUUAGGAAAAUACCAUUGUUUUUGUAGAAACCCCAGUUUUAAAUACUUUGACGUGUUUGGUUUCGACAAAUACUUUAGUUUUACAAACCAUGGUAUAUCUAAAACUAUGUUUUUUUUGCUGUAUCUAAAAAAGAGGUCUCAACCUCUUUUUGUAAACUGAGAAACACUCGCUCGAGUACAUCUUCUUCGGGUCCUCCUCACCCAUCUCUUCCGCAGCCAUGCAAUUAAGAUUACCACCUGGGAAGCUUGACUACUCUGCCGUUGAUUUCUUCAAUUGUUUACUAUUGUUCGGCCUGUACAUUAGAUAGUACUAGAGGUACGGUCCUAUCAGAUGAUGCGUUUACACAUACAAAAGAUUUAGCGAAUGCUUAGACCCUGGAGUAGAUCGAUUGAUACUGAGCAAAGUUAUACAUAGUAGUCUAAGCUAGCUAGCCGUUCGAUUCGAUGUGGCCAGAGAUACAAGAUUACUCAACAACAUAUCCUAGCAUCUAGAGGAUGUUCGCGUGCAUGACAAGGCUAUAGGCACGCAGCGGCCAUUAAUUAGCACACGCUGAUCACGUCGUUGUAUAACUCCUUUGUUGUAGGUUCAACUAGCUAUAUUUAGGAUUAUCCAUGCAACGAGUGGUCAAAACCAAGAAACUAAGAAAAACUGCACUUGCCAAACAUCUCUAUAGUUUUUCUAAAACAGAGAAAAGCUGCGGUUUUUAGAACCGAAGUAUUCAUUGCCAACAUAUUGGAAUACCGAGGUUUUCAAUUACCAUGGUUUUGGAAAAACCGGGUUGCCAAACUAGGCCUAAAGUAUUUAAAACUAUAGUAUUUUUUAGAAACCACAGUAUUUUCCAAAUACUGAGAAAAUACUUCGCUGCCAAACGGGCCCACAGAUUUACUGUUUCACAUGCAUCACUAAAGGUUAACAGUUGACACAUAAGUUUCUCAGUGAAAUAAAUGCAGGAUUCUUCUACUCAAACAUUGAACAAGAAGAAAAGAUGGUUUCUGCUGAGGGACGUCAAGUUGAUGAACAUGUCAAGAAGAUCAUUGAAUUGAAAUAUAAGGUAUUUUGCUUAGUGUGUCCCCUGCUCUUUAUCUCUAUCUCUCUCGAAAAAGAUUGUGCUCGCUUGAUUCUAUGACGUGCAGGUUCGGUCAGGAAGUUACAAUAAUUUUGUGGUGAUCAACCAGAAAAGCAUUGGUCUUCCAUCCAUCGAUCUCCUAGAUAGAGUAGGGGUAACUAAUUCACUUACAUCUAAACUUGUGAUCUUUUUGGGGUUCCAGUUCAGUUUAGAAUGUCGGUCAUGAACUCAUGAUGGCACCAGCUGAACUUGGUACUCAAAAGUUUGACAUUAUACAUAAUGCUACCGUAUAAGCCAUGAACAACCAGUUAAGUUUAAGACAAACCCAUGUAGAAACCAGACUUUCUAUGGUGGCUCAGUCUGGCACACUCAUCUUUCCCUGCUGCUAAUAAAUUAUUAUUUUUAUGCCCUUUCUUGUUUAUAAUUAGAGCGCACUCUUUUCUAUACUAAUUAGACCCCGGCACCCCUUCAAGGUCAAGUCAGGGGCUCAGGUUGGCGUGAUGAUGACCAGAAGUGGAUUAGAUAGUUUGUAGUUCUCCUGCUUUCUAUGCAUGAGUUGAUAACUCCUACUGUCGCAAGUUUGAUGAUUUUUUUUCUCGUGUUGUUGCUUCUGUAGGUUCUGCAAAUUUUAUUCAUAGAUCAGGAAAUUCUAAUAUGUGACAUGGUAAAUCUCAGGUAAUUAGGAUCUCUUGUGUGAUGUAUAUUAUGCAAAGAUUUUUGAGUUGUCGGCACUGAGGUUUCUCCUAAUACAUCAUGACACGCAUGACUAAUAAAUAAUCCCAAGAACGAGUAGUACGGGAAUAAUGUGACACAAAGCUAAUUAAUGCAGAGACCUCUCGAAAAUGGAAAUAUUCAACUCAGUAUAUUCGGUAUUAUUAGUUACCAACUUGUCAUUUAGUUGGUUGGUGAAUUCAUUUCAUUGUUUAUAUAAUAUAUUUUUUGGAUCUUUAGUAGUAUAUGCAAGCUGAUGGUUGUUCAUAAUGAACAACCACAUCUCAAAGGUGCUUGCUGUAUUAAUAUGCAGUUUCUUAUCUCACGAGCCAUGGACAUUCAGAAUAUGUGCAAGGCAAUUAAGGUAAAUAGAAGGCCCUCAGUUUACAAAGAAUUGGUCAAGAGUGAAGACUCAAAGUCUGUGUUUGUACUCCAUAGCAUGGCGAUGGCCCUUUUGCUAGUGUGUAUUAUUGUUAUUUUUUACCGAGUGAUGAUACUGACAUUGCAAGUAUGUGAAGUUUCCACAUUUGAAUUUUGGUCUUUUUUAAGAGAAAAUAGACUGGAACACUAAAAACAUAUAAUGUUAGUUCAUAUAGUUUUGAGUUGAUACAAGAUGUUAUUUAAUAAAUUCAUGUUCAUGUUUUUGUAUUCAGAUUAUUAAUUAUCCCCUUAUCUAUAUAAUAAAUCUAUGUCAUGAUAAAUCACAUUUGUAAGGUGCUCCUUUAAAUCGCACUUCUCUAUUAACCUGAUUUCUAUAAUGUAAGUUGCUCAUCUAAUACUAUUAACAUUGUUGUUGUUGCUGUAGAUCAUGAAGACAAAUUGACAAUGCAUGGCUCACAUGUUGAUUGCAAGGUUAAGAAUGGGCUACUACAAGAUAAUUAGAAUGUCAUUUUUAGGACCAAAGUUUCAGACAUCAUAGUUGAUUGCAAGGUCAAGAAUUGGGUUACAGAUAGAUAGUUUCACCUCUUGUAAUCUUUGGAUCACGUUCCUUGUAAUGCAACGUAGUCAAUUUAAUACAUGAGAAGUUUAUGUUUGUUAUAUUUUGCCUGCAACUGUCAACAUUGCAAGGUCAUGAAUUGUGCUACUAA